rnacentral:rRNA from 1 species
UUCGGGGGUACACGAGCGGCGAACGGGUGAGUAACACGUGAGUAAUCUGCCCUUCACUUGGGGAUAAGCUUCGGAAACGGGGUCUAAUACCUGAUACGACACCUUCUUGCAUGAGAUGGGUGUGGAAAGUUUUUCGGUGGAGGAUGUGCUCGCGGCCUAUCAGCUUGUUGGUGGGGUAAUGGCCUACCAAGGCUUCGACGGGUAGCCGGCCUGAGAGGGUGACCGGCCACACUGGGACUGAGACACGGCCCAGACUCCUACGGGAGGCAGCAGUGGGGAAUAUUGGACAAUGGGCGGAAGCCUGAUCCAGCAACGCCGCGUGAGGGAUGACGGCCUUCGGGUUGUAAACCUCUUUCAGUACCGACGAAGCGCCCGUUGUGGGUGGUGACGGUAGGUACAGAAGAAGCACCGGCCAACUACGUGCCAGCAGCCGCGGUAAUACGUAGGGUGCGAGCGUUGUCCGGAAUUAUUGGGCGUAAAGGGCUCGUAGGCGGUUUGUCGCGUCGGGAGUGAAAACACCGGGCUUAACUCGGUGCUUGCUUUCGAUACGGGCAGACUAGAGGUAUGCAGGGGAGAACGGAAUUCCUGGUGUAGCGGUGGAAUGCGCAGAUAUCAGGAGGAACACCGGUGGCGAAGGCGGUUCUCUGGGCAUUACCU